CAUCUGACACUUUCUUAUCUACAGUUCUAUUAGCAACAAGAUGUGAUCCCAGUUAGGGAUAGAAAAGAAGGGCCCUGCUAGUGGAGGAUGGGAAGGGGCACUUAACCAGAUGUCUGGCUGGCUAGUUUCAGCUGAUUUUUCCUCUCUUUUGUGUGGUCUUUCCUUUGUAAGUGUCAAAAGGUUUAGAAGUCCAUCAUUGCAGCACUGGUAUCUCCCAGCAUGUCCAUGGCAACAACAUCCAUCAAUAUGGCAGUGGAAGCAAAUGUUUUGGAGGGAACCCACUGAAAAAGGACUGGCCAGUUUCACCAUUUCAGUGUCAGGCCAAUAUUGGAAGUUGAUAAGAGAUUGCCAAGCAAGGAUAUUUACUCUUCUGAAAUCCUGGAAGCUUUCUACUCUUCACAACCUUUCAAAGACCAUUAACGUUGAUCAGACAUCACAUUACACAAUUCUUUCAGUACUCUGGCAUGUAGUUCAACUGCUACCUACAGAGCAGGCAAGCCAGUCUAGCUAAGGUAGCAAAGUAUCCUAAGGGAGAGACAGGAGGUGAUAUAUGUUAGGCAAGUCAAAGCACCACUUUGAAUAUUACUUCCCUUCAAACCCUGAUGGAGACAGCCCAAGACCCUGAACUCAAGACUCUUGGGAAUAAUAGUACCCCUCAGACCUGCUUCUAUCCUGCAAUCCCACAGCUCUCACUGGAGAGGGCAAUCACUAUGAAAGAGAGCUCCAUCUUCCUUGACACCACCAACACCAACUGCAUCAAGUGGCAAGUAAGACCAAGAACACUGGGAAUAGCACUCCCACACAGAUCACCAGUCCUCAAAGCCAUCAUCCAGAGAAACAAUUACUUCCUCAAGUGGCCUAGCAACUGUUCUUGUACAACCACAGUUCCUAAAGAUUCAGCAAAGAAAUUUCUUGCCACCUAAGUCCUUGCCACUGACAAAGGCUUCAAUAGCAGAAACGGAUAUGAAUUUAUCAGUAGAAAUGGCAUUAAGGAAGAUUCAUUACUAUCUGCUUUGCCACUGUACCUUAAGGACCAUGGAACCAUUCUGACAUAUUUGCAGUUGAAGCCUUCCACAUACAUUAUCUACCCAAUUCAAAUGUGAGCUACCUGAGAACCAGGACUGCCUUAAUUUUCCAUUUGUAUCCCUAGAAGUUAGCAUAGUCCUUUGAACAAAAUAAACGCAUGUUCAUAAGUUCA
rnacentral:lncRNA from 1 species